CUUUAAAUUUGGGUGUAGGGUCUGAUAAACUCAUAAAGUUUUAGUGCUGUCAUCAGCUUCUUCUUUAGUACCUACAGUUUGUGAGUUAAAUAACAGCACUACAUUU
rfam:Capsicum annuum cultivar Zunla-1 chromosome 10, whole genome shotgun sequence